CCUACGGGAGGCAGCAGUGAGGAAUAUUGGUCAAUGGACGAGAGUCUGAACCAGCCACGUAGCGUGAAGGAUGACUGCCCUAUGGGUUGUAAACUUCUUUUAUAUGGGAGUAAAAUGUUCCACGUGUGGGAUUUUGUAUGUAUCAUAUGAAUAAGGAUCGGCUAACUCCGUGCCAGCAGCCGCGGUAAUACGGAGGAUCCGAGCGUUAUCCGGAUUUAGUGGGUUUAAAGGGCGCGUAGGUGGAUUGGUAAGUCAGUUGUGAAAGUUUGCGGCUCAACCGUAAAAUUGCAGUUGAAACUGGAAGUCUUGAGUACAGGAGAGGUGAGCGGAAUUCGUGGUGUAGCGGUGAAAUGCUUAGAUAUCACGAAGAACUCCGAUUGCGAAGGCAGUUCACUGGACUGCAACUGACACUGAGGCUCGAAAGUGUGGGUAUCAAACAGGAUUAGAUACCCUAGUAGUC
rnacentral:rRNA from 1 species